GAUCCCUUGGUGCCUUAGUGCGCCCUGAACCUUUAAUAACUAUGUACAUAAUUUCUCAUAGCACUAUCCCCGCCACUGACUUUUGUGGGUGGGUAGGUGAGUGGGGGGCCGGCGCAACAGCAGUGCUAGCUAUAGUAAAAGGACAUACUACAAUAGUGCAAAGCAAACAAGAUGAUAAAGGCAAAAACAAACCGUGCCAUCUGCUGAAGCUGAA
rnacentral:misc_RNA from 1 species